UUUACCCUCGCUCGAAACGUUCACCACCGCCGCAUCCGCCGCCUCUCUUCCCAACCUCUCCUAGGGUUUGUGCCCGCGCCGCUGCCCUCCACUCACAUGUGCCGCCCAACUCCUCCGUCGGACCCCACUGCCUCCAUCCCCUUCAGACCCUUCUCCUUCACCUGCUCACUCAUGACGCCUAGCUCUAGGCUCUGUUCCAAGAUGUCGCUGCCGCCUCGCUGUAGUCCGUCGCCGCGCGAGAACUGCCGCCGGAUCAGGCCGCCUCGCUCUUCAUCAAGACCUCACCUCUCUUCUCUUCCCCCUUCCCAGCGCCAUGGGAACGCUCCCCCAUCUAUUUUCCUGCGGCAUACAUCAAGGUUAUCUUCCCCCUUCCCAGAGCCCGCUCGCUUCUUCUCCCGCCCUCUCGUGAAACUCUAGCGGCCGACGGGAAGAUGAGAAGAUGAUGCAUGGUCAGACGACGAGCUUGGCGGCGUAGGCGUGCAGGUGGUGGUGGGGGAUGGCGGCGGCUUGCACCACAUCGUUGUCCCCAAAUCUCAAAUCCUGCACUACGUCGCACGGCCGUUGCAGCCUGCAGCCCUGCAGGCGAUUGCGUCUUGCAGCCAGCAGCCCAAUCAGUACAACAGGGCCUAAACCCCAAUUCUGCAAGUGCAGCCAAGUCUCAAUGCAGCCAUGCAGGCCUGUCUCGAUGUCUCAUCGAUUGACGCGUAUGACUGCAUGAUUUAUCAAAUUGGAUGAUUAGUCUCUCCUUCACUUGAAUUUUUUGAAGAUAUGAAUUUUGGACUGACAUACUUGACUGCAAUUUUGAGAUCACCCAUCAGUACUUUCCUAGAAGCUAAUGCGCCGGUGGUGGCGGCACCGGUGGCCCUCCCUCCCCGCGAACGACGACGCCGGUGGCCACCACGGAUGACCCCGCGUAGGCCGCCGCCGCCUUCACCGUGGAUGACGCAGCGACCGGUACGGUCACCCCCGCCGCCGUUCGUCGCCUCCGGAUAGAUUGAUAACGGCCUCAACCUGCUCCCCGAGAGGGUCCAGCCCCAGACCUCUUGAUCUCGAGCAAUCAACGACUGCCUAGAGAGAAUGGUGGUCAUUCUUAUACAAAGGUAAUCAGCUAUUGUGAAGCAGUGUAAAGUUCAGGGAAUUUAGUAUUAUGAGGUUUCAUGGAGAAACAUGUCUGAGCUCAGACCUUCAGCUUUCCAGGGAAUAUCAUUAGAAGGUAGAUAACUCUGAGAAGGAGCUGGAAGAGAUGAUGCAUAUACAAGGCUGGAGUUUGUGGCAUCCCUCAGAAGUGGAGUGCUUGACAUGCUGUUCUUUGUUCGGGUAAAUCGAAGGUUUCUUUGGCUGGCCGUUCUUUUCUUCCAACAAAUAAAGGGGAGAGCUUUACAUUCUUUGGGGUUUUCUAAUUUCAAUCAUUAUAUUAAGUGGUUACUUCUUUAUGUGAAGCACAGCUAGAUACUGUUUUUUCUCCAUGAGUUUCUAAAUUUUCAGAUAUGCCUGAACUUAUUUUCAGGUGAAGAGAAGAAAGCAACCUGCCACUAUUGCUCUUCAGUCAUCAGCCAGUGUAUAUACAAUGAGAUGCUCCAACUUGUGACAUAUAAAACAACAAGGGUGAGCUGUGUGAGGUUGUCAGAAUGACCAGUAACAAGUAUGAUGCCUCAAUAGAUGGAACAAAGCAGUCCAUGGAGAACCAAGGUACUUCAGGUUAUAAUGGCUACAUUGUAGAACUUAGCUGGGAGAGUGUUGGUCAUCUUUUCUAUCUACAUGCGCAUGCCCAGUUCUCUCAAUUCUCUCUAGGUUUAGCUACAAUUCUAUUGACAGAGGUCUAAAUUUCCUUAACAAGAUUUAUAAGUUUGAACGUUUAUGCUAUUGAUAUGACUUUCUCUCAGUGCUUUCCCUGGUCCUUGCUCAUGGUUUCAUUGUAAAAGGGUAACUCUCCACUGUACAAUCAAUUCAGCUAACUUAACUUUUCUCUCCUAUCAGCCUAUUUUGUACAAUCAAUGUAUUACUGUGGCUUGGUUAGAUUUUGGUUUGCUUCAGGUGGCAACCAACAAAGAAGAAUCUGGGAGAAGCAUUGUGCUGCCAUGGGUUUUCCUAGGUCUCUCCUACUAACCAAUCAUACAAAUUUCACAAGAUGAAUUGAUCCAACUCGUCAUGGCCUUGAAGUUAUUUUUAGUUGCCAUCUUUUAAGAAUUUCAACUUGAGUGGUGUCAGGUCACUGUGCAAUACCAUUGUUUCAUCAGGCAGAUCUGUGAAAUGAAAUAACCAUUUGAUUAAUUUUUUUGUAUUCUGUAUAAACAUAUGUUCUUAU